rnacentral:rRNA from 1 species
GCAAGUCGAACGAGAAAGCUCUUCGGAGUGAGUACAGUGGCGCACGGGUGAGUAACGCGUAGGUGACGUGCCUUUUAGUUGGGGACAACAUCGUGAAAACGGUGCUAAUACCGAAUAAGCUUAACGACAUUGAAAAAGUUAAGGAAAGGGGGCUUCGGCUCUCGCUAGAAGAUCGGCCUGCGUGACAUUAGCUUGAUGGUGAGGUAACGGCUUACCAUGGCUACGAUGUCUAACUGGUCUGAGAGGAUGAUC